rnacentral:rRNA from 1 species
GAUGCACGCUGGCGGCGUGCCUAAUACAUGCAAGUCGAGCGAACAGACGAGGAGCUUGCUCCUCUGACGUUAGCGGCGGACGGGUGAGUAACACGUGGAUAACCUACCUAUAAGACUGGGAUAACUUCGGGAAACCGGAGCUAAUACCGGAUAAUAUAUUGAACCGCAUGGUUCAAUAGUGAAAGACGGUUUUGCUGUCACUUAUAGAUGGAUCCGCGCCGCAUUAGCUAGUUGGUAAGGUAACGGCUUACCAAGGCAACGAUGCGUAGCCGACCUGAGAGGGUGAUCGGCCACACUGGAACUGAGACACGGUCCAGACUCCUACGGGAGGCAGCAGUAGGGAAUCUUCCGCAAUGGGCGAAAGCCUGACGGAGCAACGCCGCGUGAGUGAUGAAGGUCUUCGGAUCGUAAAACUCUGUUAUUAGGGAAGAACAAAUGUGUAAGUAACUAUGCACGUCUUGACGGUACCUAAUCAGAAAGCCACGGCUAACUACGUG